AGAGUUUGAUCCUGGCUCAGAACGAACGUUGGCGGCGUGGAUUAGGCAUGCAAGUCGAACGAAUCCCAGCUUUGUAGCAAUACCGAGCUGGGGGAAGUGGCGAAAGGGGCAGUAAUGCGUGGGUAACCUACCUCGGGGACGUGGAUAGCCAUUCUAACGAGUGGGUAAUACGCGGCGAUUUGAUUGAGGGGCAUCCCUUGGUCAGGAAAUGAAUUUCGCCUCGCGAGGGGCUCACGUGAUAUUAGCUAGUUGGUAGGGUAACGGCCUACCAAGGCAAAGAUGUCUAGCGGGUGUGAGAGCACGACCCGCGCCACUGGCACUGAGACACUGGCCAGACACCUACGGGUGGCUGCAGUCGAGGAUCUUUGGCAAUGAGCGCAAGCUUGACCAAGCGACGCCGCGUGUGCGAUGAAGGCCUUCGGGUUGUAAAGCACUGUCGAGGGGGACGAAGCCGAAAGGUUGACCGAUCCCUGGAGGAAGCACGGGCUAAGUUCGUGCCAGCAGCCGCGGUAAGACGAACCGUGCGAACGUUGUUCGGAAUCACUGGGCUUAAAGGGCGCGUAGGCGGCUUGCCAAGUCAGUGGUGAAAUCCCGCAGCUUAACUGCGGAAGUGCCUUUGAUACUGGCGAGCUCGAGGGAGGUAGGGGUAUGUGGAACUUCUGGUGGAGCGGUGAAAUGCGUUGAUAUCAGAAGGAACGCCGGUGGCGAAAGCGACGUACUGGACCUCUUCUGACGCUGAGGCGCGAAAGCUAGGGGAGCAAACGGGAUUAGAUACCCCGGUAGUCC
rnacentral:rRNA from 1 species